AGACAGAAACAACAGAGGAAACAAAGCAAAAAGAUAACAAGACCAAUAUGGCGAAGAAGCUUCUUGCAGUGUUUUUGACGUUGGUGGUGGUUGUUGCGGUACACACUUGGAAGGCCGAGGCUGCUGACAAAAAAGGGCAAAAUUUCAAGGCAUGUGAAGCCGCCUGUUUGAAAGAUUGUGAAGCCGAAGAUGGCGUCGGCCGCAUCACCAACUCUGAGUGUAAGAUGAAGUGCGUCGGUCAAUGUGAACAAGAAAAGACUAGAGGCUAGCUGAACGCUAUCAAAACUUGGACAAUGGCCGAGGAAGAGCUAUGAGAAAUUCAUCAAGCACUUAAAUAAUAUGCAUUAAAUUUCUGUUUUUGUGGUGGAGGUUUCAUGUAGAAAUCUUGCUGCAUACUCCUACCUGUUUGAUCAAUUCACAUGUAAUAAACGAUUUGUUGUCUUUUUAUUUUUAA